rnacentral:rRNA from 1 species
CCUACGGGUGGCUGCAGUGAGGAAUAUUGGUCAAUGGGCGCAAGCCUGAACCAGCCAAGUCGCGUGAGGGAUGACGGUCCUAUGGAUUGUAAACCUCUUUUGUCGGGGAGCAAGGCCCGCCACGUGUGGCGGUAAGGAGAGUACCCGAAGAAAAAGCAUCGGCUAACUCCGUCCCAGCAGCCGCGGUACUACGGAGGAUGCGAGCGUUAUCCGGCUUUAUUGGCUUUAAAGGGUGCGUAGGCGGAAGGUUAAGUCAGCGGUAAAAUGUCGGUGCUCAACACCGGCCUGCCGUUGAAACUGGUCUUCUUGAGUGAGCGAGAAGUAGGCGGAAUGCGUGGUGUAGCGGUGAAAUGCAUAGAUAUCACGCAGAACUCCGAUUGCGAAGGCAGCAUACCGGCGCUCAACUGACGCUGAGGCACGAAAGCGUGGGGAUCGAACAGGAUUAGAUACCCUUGUAGUC